GACAGAGGUGCCGAGCGUUAGGCGGAAUCACUGGGCUUAAAGCGUGUGUAGGCGGGCCGUUAAGUAUCUUGUGAAAUCCCCCGGCUCAACCGGGGAAUGGCUGGAUAUACUGGCGGUCUUGAGCGAUCUAGGGGCAGAUGGAACAAGUGGUGGAGCGGUGAAAUGCGUAGAUAUCGUCAGGAAUGCCGGUGGUGAAGACGGGUGACUGGGCUGGUUCUGACACUGAGGCACGAAAGCGUGGGGAGCGAACGGG
rnacentral:rRNA from 1 species